ACAUAGCUUCUCUCCAGUUCACUACACCCUCGAGUCCUCCCAGAGAGAAACAGGAGCAGAAAACAAGGUCCUGUGUUCCAUUUCUUGCUUCUCUUCCUUUCCCAGUUCUUCCGGCACUUCAGACAGAUUCAGCCGAAUACUCAAGCACAUCCUGACCCAGAGGAGCUACUACCCGCUCUACCCUCCCCAGGAGGACAUGGCCAUUGACUAUGAGAAUUUCUGUGCCUAUGCACAGCUGCCUGUCACCCCAGAUAUCCUCAUUGUCCCAUCAGAGCUGAGGUACUUUGUGAAGGCCAGCCCAGCCUGGAGGAGGUGCUUGGCUGUCCUCAUCUCUGCCCACCUGGGGACUGGAGCCCUCACAGGGAGUCCACCAGCCUGCCCACCUCUUGCCAGACAGCCAGUUCAACCUCAGGAGUCACCUUCUUCAUUUUGUUUCAGAGACCCAAAAGGAAUUCCCGGUUUUCCAAUAGGUUAACAUAUUUGACUUAAGAUAAGUUCGGCUGCCUUCAUUCCCAUUUUAUAAAACCCUCUUGGGGUCUCACUGUUAGAUGCCUCCAACUUUUUUCCCUUCCAAACCCCCAGUCUCGUCUCCUU